rnacentral:lncRNA from 1 species
AAGGACUCAGAAGGGAGAACCAGAGAGACCACAAGAAGAGAAGGACCUCCCCCAGCCCCCCAUCCAAUGCUGCUGGUUUGGAGGGACGGGACACAAGUCAGGAAUACAAGGCUCUUAUAGAAGCUGGAAAGGGAAGGCUUCAGGGAAAUAGUUCUUUCCUGGGAUUCCCACAAGAUACACAGAAAGCUACUCUAGACUUUCCCAGGCAGAGGUAGUCAUGGUGGGAAGAAGCCAAAACAGCAGACAACAAAGGCACAAUUAGACAAACAGGAUUACUCCAGACUCAGAAAAUCAACAGUGAAGAAGCCUGCAAAAUGGAGUGUUUUAAAUAAAGUUUUCUUCUGGCAAAGGAUAACUAUUCAGAGUAUAGAAGGAACUUAAAAACAUUAAUUUAAAAAAUCCAGUUUAAAAAUGG